rnacentral:lncRNA from 1 species
UCCUGCCUCAGCCUCCCCGAGUAGCUGGGAUUACAGGCGACUGCCGCCACCACGCCCGGCUAAUUUUUUAAGUAUUUUUAGUAGAGACGGGUUUCACCGCGUUAGCCAGCAUGGUCUUGAUCUCCUGACCUCGUGAUCUGCCCUCCUCGGCCUCCCAAAGUGCUGGGAUUACAGGCGUGAGCCACCGCGCCCGGCCGACCCCUGUAGGGUUUUAAAGGAGAGAGGCAGCAUCCCAGAGGGCAAAAAGGGCUUCAUUCAUGGAGAAAGCAACUGAGCUGGGCAGAGCACAGACGGAAUUUGAAUUGGAGGCCAGAGGCAAAGGGAACUCCAAGUGGAAGAAGAAACGGCAUGAAAAAAGGGAUUGAGAAGGAAAAGGACAAGAUGGUUUGGAGAGAGAGCAACUUCAGCCUGGAAAAGCAGAAAUGAGAUGCGGCCAAGAAAAAGACUCCAGCCCAGCCUGCCUUGGUUCUAACCCUGACUGUUACUUAACCUCUUUCUGGCUCAGUCAAGAAACUUGAGCACUGCAAGAUGAUCAUGUGGAAUACCUACUUCAAACGGAUGUUAAGAGGAGUAAAAGUGUUCUUGUUUCUAAGUGCUUGAAAUGCAGCUGGCAUAUAAUUAAGCUAUGCAAAUAUUUACUUUUUUUUUUUGAAAUGCUGAGUUUACUGAUCACUCUAAUUUUUACAUAUGUGUGUCAUUACAGAAGAUUCAGGCUUUAGCGAUGACUGGAGGGUCAUUCGCUGGAAAGAAUUUCAUCAGUUGGAACUAAAUCAUGGUGAGCAAAAGAAAGUCUACCUAAGUGAUAUGGUUUGGCUCUGUGUCCACAUCCAGAUCUCAUCUCGAAUUGUAAUUCCCACAAGUUGUGGGACGGAGGUGAUUGAAUCAUGGGGGCAGGUGCCCCAAUGCUGUUCUGGUGAUAAUGAGUGAGUCCCCAAGAGAACUGAUGAUUUUAUAAGGGGCUCUUCCCCCUUCACUUUCUCUUCUCUCUCCUGCUGCCUUGUGAAGCAGGUGCCUGCUUCGCCUUCUGCCAUGAUUGUGUUUCCUGAGGCCUCCCCAGCCAUGCAGAACUUAGUGCCUCACUUUGGAGUCGGCUGAGAAGAUCAUUCCAGACGGGAGUUUUGACACUGUACAAAUGCACUGUCUUCACAUCUACGCUGACACCCCUGCCUUUCUACCUGCAGGUGUCUGUGGCUUACAAGCUGGUGCCUCCCACAGACCCUGUAGUUUGGAGCUAAUGAAGAGCUGAGAAGGUAGGUUUGGCUGUGACUAGAGAGCAGGAACAACCUCUCCACAGGUCAUUCCUUUCUCCAGGCAUGGAACCGUCUUACAAACCUGGGCUGAGGGUUCAUUGCCUCUAAAUGUAGAAGCAAAGACUAAAUUCAAAAGGCAAGAACUACUUAAUGAAAACAGAAACUCCACUACAUACGUGUUUCUUCUGCCUAUCCCAUGGAGUCAGAGAGGUGGUGGAUCUAGCAGAGACAGCUGUAGACCAGGGGUCAGAAGACUUGGGUCCUCAUCCUGAUUCUACCACUAACUAGCUGCAUGACCUCAGACAAGUGACUUGUCUGCCCUAGACCAGGCAGGGUUGGACAGUUAGCCCCAAAGUCCCUUCUAAUGCUAAAAUUCUAAGAUUGUACCCUGCCAGCCUUAGGAGGCUAUGCUGUUACUACCAGUGCCUGGCACAUAGCAGGCACUAUAUAAAUGUUAAUUAUCAUUAUUAUUAUGUAAAGGCACAAUGCAUGCCUUUAUAUGUAAACGUGGAUUCUUCCCCAUUAUAACAAUGAAUGAUCUAGAAGCAAAUUAUAACAACAGGGUAUAAUCAUAAGCAAUGAAGACUGUAAUUCCUACCGGUCUUCUUCUCAGCACAAAUGAAUAAAGCUUUUCCCCCCUCCCCCUCCAGUAAUUGUUGGAGGUGGUUCUUGGAUCCAAAUCCCAAGCCCUUCCAGAAUAUCUGCAAUUGGAGAACGGGUCAUUCAAUCAAAAGACUGUAGACUGUACUGUGAUGUAAAUUUUUUUCUUCCCCACUGAAAAUCCCAGGCCAGGCAUGGUGGCUAACACUUAUAAUCCCAGCACUUUGGGAGGCCUAGGUGGGCAGAUCACUUGAGCUCUGAGCAAUACAAUGAGACCUCGUCUCUACUAAAAAUUCAAAAACAAUUAGCCUGGUGUGGUGGCACAUGCCUGUAGUCCCAGCUAUUCAGGGGGCUGGGGGCUGAGGUGGGAGGAUCACUUGAGUCUGAGAGGCCAAGGCUGCAGUGAGCCCUGAUUGCACCACUGAACUCCAGCCUGGGUGACAGAAGAAGACCUUGUCUCAGAAAAAAACAAACAAGCAAACAAACAAAAAACUCAAUGCAGGUUGGGAAUGAGAACUGGGAUUCAGGAUUUGGAGUUUCCUAAUAUAUUUUGCCUUCUUCCCAUGAUAUAUACAGUGUAUAAACCUAGUAUGAGGAAGGAACAGUUGUCUAUCAAAAUGGUAAAUGGCAUUCAGUCUUAAGUUUCUAAAUAAAGUUAGCAAUUAUGGGUAUGGCCAAAUGUGGGUGCUUGCCAUAACCUCUGGGGCCUCACCAUUUCCAGCUACCAGGAUCUGCAACUUUUUGCCUGAGGGUUUUCUCAGAAGACACAGAAACUGUUCUGCCUAUAAGCCUUGAAGUGCCAGGGAAUUAACACCUACCUUCCCACAGCCCUCCCCACAGUGACUGAUAGCAUUGAUAACGAUACCCAAGCUUCACCCCUCAGGUGGGAUAACUGAGCUGCUUGUUCUAUACCAUGUUCUAGAGUUUCUCCCAUGAGUUUAGGUUCUAAUCAUCCACAUGUAAAUUGCUUGAUAAGAAACCUUCAUUGACUCCUUGUCUCACUUCCCCUCCCCUUAUUUGUUUUGUUUGCACCUUUCAAAUAAACUAUUUUCAUUCAAAUC